UAGCAUAAUCAUUAUUUUUUUAAUUGAAAACUUGUAUGAAUGGUUGGACAAAGAAAAAGCUGUCUCUUUUAUUUGAAUUGAAAUUAACUUCUAAGUGAAAAGGCUUAGAUUUUUUAGAGGGACGAUAAGACCCUAUAAAGCUUUAUAAGUUAAGUAAGUUAAAUUAAUUUUUUAAAAUAAAAAUAAGCUUAAAAAAUUUAUUUGGUUGGGGCGACAAUGGUAUAAAUUAAAUAACUGCUAUUAAAAUUAAGCAAUUAUAUUUGAUUAGAAUUAUAAUUGAUCCUUAUUAUGGAUUAAAAGAUCAAGUUACUUUAGGGAUAACAGCGUAAUUUCUUUUGAGAGUUCUUAUCAAAGAAGAAGUUUGCGACCUC
rnacentral:rRNA from 1 species